UACGUAGGGGGCUAGCGUUGUCCGGAAUCAUUGGGCGUAAAGAGCGUGUAGGCGGUCCGGUAAGUCCGCUGUGAAAGUCAGGGGCUCAACCCUUGAAAGCCGGCCGAUACUGUCGGACUAGAGUCCGGAAGAGGCAAGUGGAAUUCCCGGUGUAGCGGUGAAAUGCGCAGAUAUCGGGAGGAACACCAAUGCGAAGGCAGCUCGCUGGGACGUUACUGACGCUGAGACGCGAAAGCGUGGGGAGCAAACAGG
rnacentral:rRNA from 1 species